UUGCUUUGGUAGCACAUAUACAAAAAUUGGAACGAUACAGAGAAGAUUAGCAUGGCUCCUGUGCAAAAAUUUAUGCACAUUUAUUUAUGACGAGGUCCAUAAACAA